AGCGAACGCUGGCGGCAUGCUUAACACAUGCAAGUCGCACGGGCAGAAAUGUCGGUGGCGGCCGGGUGGGUAACGCGUAGGAAGUUGUCCUGAGGUGGGGGACAACCCCGGGAAACUGGGGCUACUACCGCAAAUGGGCUGUGGCCCAAAGCCGAAGGGCGCGUUUGGAGCGGCCUGCGUCCGAUUCGGUAGUUGGUGGGGUAAAGGCCUACCACGCCUGGGAUCGGUAGCUGGUCUGAGAGGACGACCAGCCACACUGGGAUUGAGACACGGCCCAGACUCCUACGGGAGGGAGGAGUGGGGAAUAUUGGACAAUGGGCGAAAGCCUGAUCCAGCAAGGCCGGGUGAGUGAAGAAGGUCGUCGGAUCGUAAAGCCCUUUCGACGGGGACGAUGAUGACGGUACCCGUAGAAGAAGCCCCGGCUAACUUCGUG
rnacentral:rRNA from 1 species